rnacentral:sRNA from 1 species
AUGGCCUCCCGGUAUGUGGCAGUGGGAAUGAUGUUAUCACAGACCGUGGUGGGAGUCCUGGGGAGCUUCUCUCUUCUUCUGCAUUAUCUCUCCCUUUACUACAUUGGGUGCAGGUUAAGGUCCACAGAUUUGAUUGUUAAGCACUUGAUUGCAGCCAACUUCUUGGCUCUUCUCUGUAAAGGAGUCCCCCAGACAAUGGCAGCUUUCCGGGUUAGAUAUUUUCUCAAUGCGAUUGGGUGCAAACUUGUUUUCUAUCUCCACAGAGUGGGCAGGGGAGUGUCCACUGGCACCACCUGCCUCUUGAGUGUCUUCCAGGUGAUCACGGUCAGCUCCAGGAAAUCCAGGUGGGCAAAACUCAAAGAGAAAGCUCCCAAGCAUGUUGGCUUUUCUGUUCUCCUGUGCUGGAUCCUGUGCAUGUUGGUAAACAUCAUCUUUCCCAUAUAUGUGACUGGCAAACGGAACCACAGAAACAUCACAGUGAACAAGGAUUUGGGAGACUGUUGUGGGAGAGGCAACAACAAAAUCGCACAGACACUGUGUGCAAUGUUGUUAUCAUUCCCUGAUGUGUUGUGUCUGGGGUUCAUGCUCUGGGCCAGCAGCUCCAUGGUUUGCAUCCUGCACAGGCACAAGCAGCGGGUCCAGCACAUUUAUAGGAGCAAUCUCUCCCCCAGAGCCUCCCCAGAGAACAGAGCUACGCAGAGCAUCCUCAUCCCGGUGAGCACCUUUGUGUCUUCUUACACUCUCUCCUGCCUUUUGCAAGUUUGUAUGGCUCUUUUGGAUAAUCCCCAUAGUUUACUGGUGAACACUUCAGCCUUAAUGAGUGUAUGUUUCCCAACUCUCAGCCCCUUUGUUCUCAUGAGCUGUGACCCCAGUGUAUACCGGCUUUGCUUUGCCUGGAAAAGUUGA